UACGUAGGGUGCGAGCGUUAAUCGGAAUUACUGGGCGUAAAGCGUGCGCAGGCGGUUUUGUAAGACAGAUGUGAAAUCCCCGGGCUUAACCUGGGAACUGCGUUUGUGACUGCAAGACUCGAGUGCGGCAGAGGGGGGUGGAAUUCCACGUGUAGCAGUGAAAUGCAUAGAGAUGUGGAGGAACACCGAUGGCGAAGGCAGCCCCCUGGGUCGACACUGACGCUCAUGUACGAAAGCGUGGGGAGCAAACAGG
rnacentral:rRNA from 1 species